rnacentral:rRNA from 1 species
CCUACGGGUGGCAGCAGUGAGGAAUAUUGGUCAAUGGGCGCGAGCCUGAACCAGCCAAGUCGCGUGAGGGAAGACGGUCCUAUGGAUUGUAAACCUCUUUUGUCGGGGAGCAAAAGACGCCACGCGUGGCGUUCCGAGAGUACCCGAAGAAAAAGCAUCUGCUAACUCCGUGCCAGCAGCCGCGGUACUACGGAGGAUGCGAGCGUUAUCCGUUUUUAUUGGGUUUAAAGGGUGCGCAGGCGGAUGGUCACGUCAGCGGUAAAAUUUGGGGGCUCAACCUCUUCGAGCCGUUGAAACUGGGUGGCUUGAGGGAGUGAGAGGUAUGCGGAAUGCGUGGUGUAGCGGUGAAAUGCAUAGAUAUCACGCAGAACUCCGAUUGCGAAGGCAGCAUACCGGCGCUCAACUGACGCUCAUGCACGAAAGUGUGGGUAUCGAACAGGAUUAGAUACCCGAGUAGUC